GGAACGUAUCAUGUCAAGUGUAUAUGGAUGCGCUUUAUAUCGUAUUGGAUCAUCAAAAACAUGUUUGACAAAUAUUGAAGCAUGAACAAAGUAGUCCCGAAGCAUUACCAAUCUACCAUGGUUGUGUAAAAAACAAAGCAAACAUGUAGAUACUAACAACAUGCCACAUAUGAUACCAAGCACAUCUGCAAUACUAAAUUGAAGGAAGCAUACACAUAGUAUGAAACUUAAUACAAAAAAUCUGAAGCAUUG
rnacentral:lncRNA from 1 species